UACGUAGGGUGCAAGCGUUGUCCGGAAUUAUUGGGCGUAAAGAGCUCGUAGGCGGUUUGUUGCGUCGGCUGUGAAAUCCCGAGGCUCAACCUCGGGUCUGCAGUCGAUACGAGCAAACUAGAGUGUUGCAGGGGAGACUGGAAUUCCUGGUGUAGCGGUGAAAUGCGCAGAUAUCAGGAGGAACACCGGUGGGCGAAGGCGGGUCUCUGGGCCGAUACUGACGC
rnacentral:rRNA from 1 species